AACAGCCUAACUGCCUUCCUUCUGCCUGCCCAGAAGUGUACCAGGCUCACUCGUGCCUUUGCUCACUCGGAUGCCUCCCUAGAUCACGUUUUCACCUCCCUUGUUCAUCUGGCUCUCCCCACCCUCCUACUUUCAGACUUAUCCUUCUAGGUCAGCAAAUCUGGAGAGCCUCUCCUCUUGAUCUAGGGUCAUUAUUACAAUGAAGGGAAGAAAGGAAGACAUGAAGGGGAAAUGGGACUAUUUACCAAGUGUAUCUGCAUAGACUAAAGGAGACAAGAGGAAGUACUGAGCACCUUGAUUCCUGCAGAUAAUUAUUUAAGAACCAUAAGAAUUCUUUCCUAGCUUCUCAUAAGCCUGCUCCUUCAAAGGGUUAACUGCAGUGAAUCAAACUAUUGGAUUAUAAUUCCAUGAAGUAAGUUUAUUGAAGACAAACAGGCCUUGGGCCGCUGCCUCUGUCUCUCCUGCCUUCCCCACUGAAUCUCCAGCCCACAUUCACAAACAAAGACAAACCUGUGUAAACUGAAGCACCACAAAACUACUUUUAUGAAAGCAGAAUGGAAGCAGAUUUCACCUGCAUUUCCUACAUUCAACUGAAUCCUUUAAAUUGACUGAGGCACAUCCUGUACCAAGGAGAGACCUUUGUUACUGCCUUUGAUCCUGAGACCUUCUGAGCCAGCCUCCUUGGUAUAACCACGCAUUUACGGAAGAUGACGUUACCAGCAGCCCUGGGGCGCAGUCAACAGCAGUGGAAGAGCUGGCUCAUGUGUGGCUCAGGCUGACUCCACAAUCAGAGUGAUUAUGUGGAAAUCAAUCAGAAUUUUCUUCUUAGAAGAUGUUUGUUCUGACAUAAUGACUGACUUUCCAGCUAAUUUUUAUUCAUAGGCUUCUCCUUGCACAAUGAUCUCUAUUUCUCUCAAUGUUAUUCUGUGUCUUUCUUGCUUGCCUGCACAUUCUGAAAAAAAAAGGAAAGCAAUUCCCUACAUUUUAUUUUGAUACUUAAUGUUGUUUGCUAACAUAUUCAGAACACAAUGCAACUUUAUAUAUUAGAGCACUUAUAAUAUAUAUUAGGAAAACAUCAAUUAGGUACCACCAGUUAUUUUAGACAGGUAUCUCUUAGGUAAAAUGUGGUGAAAAUAGAGGGGCAAUGAUAGAAUUCAUAUGUGAAAGAGUCAAUUGGCCAUCAUUAUGCCAAAAUUAUUUUGUGGUUCAGGGGACAUUUUAAACUUUAAUUUUUAAGAAUUAAACUUUAAUUAAAUUUAUUGUAGUUUAAAUGCAAUCACAAGGAAAGACUCUGAACUGGAAACACCAAGCCAAGCUCUUUCCUAGUUCUGGUCCCCUAUAAACCCUGAAAGUUAAUGCAAUUAUUGUAAUUUUUAAACCACCGAGUUCUCAGGGUGAUUAGUUAUGCAGCAAUAGAUAGCCUGAAAAGGACCAUUCUUUCUGGCACUGAAAAUUAAGAAGAGUGAUUAACAACAUAAGAAUGUAGUUUGUGCUGUCUGCCACAGAUUUAUGUUGUAGCUUCAGUGAUUGCUUCAAAGCACCCUUACUAAUUGCCAGCCUAUUGCUGAUACCUAGCUAAAUUAGCAUGUGUUAGUUUUGAUACCACUAUAGGCAUUUAAAGGAUAGCUGAUACAUUCUAUAUAAAAUAUAAUUAUUUUCCUAUCUUUAGUUUAUCCUAAAGUAGCAGCUAUUAUAUUCGCUUCUUGAUUAGCUUUAUACAUAACCAGAGAAAGUAAAAUAUCACAGAGUAUAUUUGAAGACAUAAAAGUCUUUGGACAAAGCUCAAGUAAUGAAUCAGGAUGCUAUUACAUCCUCCACAUGACAGUAAAUAUAUUUUAUAUUCCUAAAUUUUAAGCUUUUAACAAAAGCAAAUUUUAUACUGGACUAUUUCAAUUUCUAGGGAAAGGAAAUUAUCAUUUACUGUCUUUGAGGCUAUAAUCUAUUUAGCCAUUAUUUUUAUAUUGAUCAAUUUAUAAUAAAGGUAAGAGAAAAUACUACCACA